rnacentral:rRNA from 1 species
GACGAACGCUGGCGGCGUGCUUAACACAUGCAAGUCGAACGGAAAGGCCCUGCUUUUGUGGGGUGCUCGAGUGGCUAACGGGUGAGUAGCACGUGAGUAACCUGCCCUUGACUUUGGGAUAACUUCAGGAAACUGGGGCUAAUACCGGAUAGGAGCUCCUGCUGCAUGGUGGGGGUUGGAAAGUUUCGGCGGUUGGGGAUGGACUCGCGGCUUAUCAGCUUGUUGGUGGGGUAGUGGCUUACCAAGGCUUUGACGGGUAGCCGGCCUGAGAGGGUGACCGGCCACAUUGGGACUGAGAUACGGCCCAGACUCCUACGGGAGGCAGCAGUGGGGAAUAGUGCACAAUGGGCGGAAGCCUGAUGCAGCAACGCCGCGUGCGGGAUGACGGCCUUCGGGUUGUAAACCGCUUUCGCCUGUGACGAAGCGUGAGUGACGGUAAUGGGUAAAGAAGCACCGGCUAACUACGUG